rnacentral:rRNA from 1 species
UACGUAGGGUGCGAGCGUUAAUCGGAAUUACUGGGCGUAAAGCGUGCGCAGGCGGUUUGUUAUGUCCGAUGUGAAAGCCCCGAGCUCAACUUGGGAAUGGCAUUGGAAACUGGCGGGCUGGAGUGUGGCAGAGGGGGGUGGAAUUCCACGUGUAGCAGUGAAAUGCGUAGAGAUGUGGAGGAACACCGAUGGCGAAGGCAGCCCCCUGGGCCAACACUGACGCUCAGGCACGAAAGCGUGGGGAGCGAACAGG